CUAAUCCAUAACCAUAAGCAUAAUCACUAACACCUAACAUCUAACCUAAGGCUAACCACCAACUGCCUCCCCUCCCCUGACCCUACCAUUCAUUCUACCCAUUCACUUACCCUGUGGUUCAGAGGAGUCCGUUCUGAUAUGGACGUGGCCCCCAACGGCGCCUCCAGAGUCCUCCAGGGGGUCCUGAGGAAGCCAGGCUCCUGUGAGUGCGGACAUGGCCCCACGUGUUCCUGUGUCAUAGUCAGUGGGUCCAGAGGACACCGCGUCUCCUGUCACUGUGGACUAUGCCUCACAUCCUCUGGAAGCCUCACAGCAAGUCCUCAGGAGGCUGGGGUCUCCUGUCAGCCUAGACAUGGCCUCACAUCCCCCAGAAAACUCACUGUGGGUCCUGAUGAAGCUGUGGGCUCCUGUCAGCAUAGACCCAGCCCCAUAUUUCCCGAAGCCAAAGUGCAUGUCCUGAGGAGGACGGGGGUCCUGUCAGCAUAGAUGUGGCCCCAAAUCUUCUCAAACCUUCACAGUGGGUCCUGAGGAGGCUGGAGACUCUUGUCAGUGUGGAUGCGGCACCCACAUUUUUCUUAGGCCUCACCACAGACCCUGACAAGCCUGGGGUCUUCUGUCCGCAUGGAUGCAUCCCAUAUUUCCCCAAGUCAACACCAGGGAUCCUAAGGAUUCAGCAUCCUGUUGUGUCGAUGUGACACAACGUCCUCCCGAAGCAUCACCGAGGGUUCUGAGGAGGCCGGGGCUCCUGCCACCAUUAAUGCGGCCCGCAGCUUCCAGAAGCCUCAACUUAUGUCCUGAGGUGGCCCAGGGGCUCCUGUCAGCGUGGAUGCGGGCCCACAUCUUCCUGAAGCUGUGGCUCAUCAGCGUGGACGUGUCCCCACGUCCUCCUCAGGCCUCCCCAGCACAGGCUGGCUCCUGUUAGUGCAGGCAGAGGAGGCCUACUGCACAUUCAUGCCCGCUGGGUGGGGCCUGGGCUCGGGCGCCCCCUGCAGGACGCUCAGGCGCUGCAGGAGGCUGUGCAGAAGGAGGCAGGCGCUCCAGGGGCUGCACCUGCCUCCUUCCAGGCUCCUGCUGUGGCCUGUUAGCUUUAGAAACGUCUCACUGAAACGGAGCCCAACACCUGGCUUCCCCAGAAAUACUUAAGGACAAGGAAUUGGAGCCCACAGGAUGCAAAAUGAAAUGUGGACCAGGGUUUUACCACGUCCCGCAAAACCCACCCAACCCUCUUCCACUGUGGGCGGGAUUGCGGGCUGGUGCAGCCACCCUGGAAACAGUGUGGAGGCUCUGCAGGGCGACUCUAUUUGUAACAUCCUGUGAACAGCAGGUGAACGGCCUGAUUUCACUCCGAAGAUACAGAUGCAGUGAGACUUGGGACACCUGCACCCCAAUGUAUACAGCAGCCGGGUCCACAGUAGCCACACUGUGGGAGGAGCCUCGGUGACCUGUGGCAGAUGAUGGAUAAAAAGGAUGGGAGAUAGAUGAUGGU
rnacentral:lncRNA from 12 species